rnacentral:lncRNA from 1 species
CUUACCAUAUUAUGGUUCACUAAUUUCGAUGCUCGCACACAGAGCGCGCCAAAGAGUUAGUUAAAAUUUCAUAUCAACUGUGUUUAUGGAUUACCUUGUUUUUAUCUUUUAACUUUUGUGUGAUUAAAAGCAACAUACCAUUUACUUCAAUUUUAAUCUCAUUUUACAUCAAAAGAUUAGUUUAUAAAAUAGCUGCAAUUAUGUUUAAAUAUAUUUAUUCUGAACCCAGCUCAGUCCCUUAGGUAAUUGCAAAUUCACUGGAAGGAUUUGUCAUUCGCAUUAAAUAUCAAGCAAAGUGCAUUCCGUUUCCUGUGUUUACACAGACAAUGUUGAUACUUGCCGUUUCGUAGAACAGAGAGAAUGAUUGAGUUCGUUGGUUGCAAACAGGGUUUACGUACCUCUGUGCUAUUCAACCAAUGAGGAUUCAGUUGAUCGAUCUCUUGCCAUUCCUCGUUUAUCGAGAAUGUAAUUCAACGCAAAGACGUUCCUGUGGUCAUUGGUGAAAUUCGAUCGUAAUCUAAAGUCAAGAUCGGAGAGGAACACCGAUCUUGAAGCGAUCACGAAUCGGCAGCGUACCUUUAAUUGAUAACCCGAUUAAUUAUGCAUUCGGACUUUGAGCGCAACACCAGUUCGCCAGUUCAAACAAGGGUGGCAAGUCGUUCGGAAUGCGGCAUGCAAAGUGCCGGCAUUGCGUGCACGACGGCUGUGAGCUAACGUGGCUUUUGUUAAAAGCGCUUAAAUUUAUAAUGACCACGGUUAUCGAGCGUCACGAUCGAAAAGCACCGGUUCAAAUUUAAAGAUACGUUGCAAACGUCCGCUCAAUCUCGCGAAGCCUUAGCAACAACCUUCGACGUCAAGUUAAUGGAAUUACAAAACGACAUAACUUCCCGAGUAAUUAUUUCUUCGGUAAAAAUUUUUAUCAGCCACUUUCACGUGCAUUCCGAAUAAAGCGGUAUAACUUACUAGGAAGUAGACGGAACACGCUUUCUUUCUCCCGUUGCAAGCGAAAGAAAAAAGGAAUUAUAGCUCACGAAGGCCUAUAAACGCGAGGCGUAAGAAAAGCGACGAGCAACGAGGGGCUAGCAACUUUCAGCUCGUGAACGGGAAAGGUUCAGACCGUUAACGACACCCUGCGCGGCUUUAAAAACUAAUAUUUCCAUCAUUGUUAGUUUUUACGACGUGGCGAAUAACGUGGCCUCGUCUCGUUCGUUUAAACGAAGAAUUACAGUACACCGUUGGGCUCGUCUUUACUUAUUACCCUGCAAUUAAAGAAAAGACACACAAAGUUGAUGCAUUUAUUUGCCAGUGUUCGUUGCUCUUUCUCGUAACCCCAGCAGUCCUCGGCAGAGACGGCGGUGUAAGACUUGAAGCUUGAAGGUGAGAUCGUUAGCGCGAAGAGUGUGACUUGGCAUUGUGUCUCGGAGUACGUCUUAAGUGUUAGUUUAUUGUUACCCGCUAGCCGGUGGGCAGGUUGUUCUUCCAUAUUUAAGCUGGUCCAUUAGUGCUCACCGGUCGCGUUUAUGUUUCGGAAUGCUGUGUGUUUGUCCCUUGAAAUAGCGCUCUGCACAGUCGAUAUGUCUGCCUCGCACACGUUUUGACUUUACCCUUUGUCGAGAAACAAAUUCUUGGUAAUCUGUCACAAUUUCUUACUCUUAAAAAAUCAACUUGGAACAGUAAUGUUACUGUAACCACCAAAUAUGACUUGGCUUAUUAUCACAUAUACUGACAAUUGUCUGUAUCUAAUGUGUAGCUUUGUACGUAGAUUAAAGCAAGAUAAAUUGGAUCCUUAUCACGAAGUCAAUUGCAGAAACGUAGCCCGAAUCAGGGUCCUUAAGAGAAGGAAAAGGUAAUUUUACCGACCGAGGACACGCGGUAGGCGGACUCAUUAAACUUUUCGCCGUUUCAUCCUUCGAAGGAAUCGUGUCGAGAGCAACGGCUCCCGCGGGAAUACCGGUGUGGCACGAUUAUACCGACCGCCAUGAGAAUCAAGCAGAGGGAAGGAUUAUACGAAGAAGGGUUAAAAUACUCCUCUUUCCGUCGCGCUACAAGAAUUCGAAUGCUUCCAAGAAGGGUGACGACGAAUUGAAGAAUUCUUUUGUUCUUUUCGUGACGUUUUCCGUUGUUUUCGCUCGUCCAGCGGGUCUAAUCGGACGAAAUUAAUGUCUGGAUGUUGUUGGCAGAAGUUAGUCGAGACGCCAUCGGUAUACUGUUACAGAAACGGAAAGAGGAAAAAUGGCGAGCCGGUAGGGUGUGGAGUUAUAAGUUUCCAUGUUGGUAUAGCUUUUCUUGCUCGCUUGUCGCCCCGUGUUUCUUCGUUAAUGUAAUUGACUGCCGGUGAAAGCGUCGAUCUGGCAAGUAGUAGAUGAUACAUGAGACCCAGCAUGCUCGGUUUCCUCUGGCCGAUGUCGCGUCCAAGUUACUCGUCCGAUUUAUCGAAUCGACGGUAAGGCGAUACGAUAGACGUAUCGAAUUAUACGCGAGCCAGGAUGCAUUGAGUUCCAACCGCAGUCUUGAAUCGCUUAUUCUCUGAUUACUCGUUCCCCGCUGCGGUAGGCUGUGCUUCAUUUGCGGAUGAAAAAUUGUUUUUGUCCACGUCGCAUCGUUUGCUCUACACUCUAGUUUCGUUUUUCUUUAUCUGCACAGAAGCCUUAAGUUCUUAUUUGUCAUAUAAUCUGUACAAGUUUGGAAAAAUCUGCUCUGAAGGUUAACAAUCAGCAGACUGGUUACUUGUGAAUUUAGAGUAUAUAGAAGUUUGCGAAUUUGUAAGAUCAGUAUGAUGAUUUGUUUUCGCAGACAAUAUAUUAUAAACGGAUAAACAUGAUAGGAUAUUAGAUAUAAAAUUAUCUAAAAGUCCGUGCAAUUUGUUCGCACCUCGAAACGUCGAAUUUUAUGAGAAGCAUUAAUUCUCUAAAAAAAUUGUGAAAUGCAUCGCUGCUCGAAUAAAUCUGGCCGAUUUUUGUAUUAUAGAAACGAUAAGCCAGCAUGGAGAACGGUGGCCGUAAAAUUUUAAUCCCUAUACCACGGUGGUUGCACCAUCGGCAAACCCAGCCCUUGAGCAAGUUUAAUUCUUGUGGGUCCCAUCGGUGACUUUAUCGCAAGAAAUUGCCACGGUCCGGAAACCGUCGUUACAGCAUCGUUACCGUAAGAACUUACUGGCGAGCAUUGUUACGGCUAAUGUUACCGAACUUAGUUAACUUUCAGUUUUACCGCCGAUUCGGAUUAAGAAUUUAUGGUAACGACCGACUCUUCGGUUUAUUCUCCGCCAAUGGAAGAACACGGGAAAACGUUUUCGACAGACACUUUAAUCACGAUGGUACUCCUCGAUGUAUGUUACAUUCGAACGUGUUCUUGAAUUUUUCAGUUACCUGUUUAUUAACAGGAUC